GUUAGGAAUAUUGGACAAUGGGCGAAAGCCUGAUCCAGCCAUGCCGCGUGAACGAUGAAGGCCUUCGGGUUGUAAAGUUCUUUAGCCGAUGAUUAUAAUGACUGUAGUCGGAAAAUAAGCCCCGGCUAACUUCGUGCCAGCAGCCGCGGUAAUACGAAGGGGGCGAGCGUUAUUCGGAAUCACUGGGCGUAAAGCGUGCGUAGGCGGUUUUGUAAGUUAGGAGUGAAAGCCCAGGGCUCAACCCUGGAAUUGCUCUCAAAACUGCAAGGCUCGAAUUCGGGAGAGGAUAGCGGAAUUGUCAGUGUAGCAGUGAAAUGCGUAGAUAUUGACAGGAACACCAGUGGCGUAAGCGGCUAUCUGGACCGAUAUUGACGCUGAGGCACGAAAGCGUGGGGAUCAAACAGGAUUAGAAACCCCGGUAGUCC
rnacentral:rRNA from 1 species